CCAGUAUUUGGCUGUUUUUUUCUUUUCCCCAAGCUCGCAAGGCUUCUCAAACUCCUCUUCUGAUUAAUGUGUGAACAUGGGCAUUUCCUGACAGGCAUUCUGAAAAAUACUGCACAACUUUUUCAAUGUAUAUGUCAAAAACAACCUGUCUACAAGAAGAAUGGUAAAAAGGAGUUGUCAUACUCAGAAAAUAUUAUAAUCUGCACUGUUCAUAUAUACAAUACUAACAUUUAUAUAUGUUAUAAUAUAUGUUAUAAACUUAUAACUAUAACUAAUGCCAUGAAAUACAACGGAUGGAAGAAUUUGUUACCAAGGGAUGAGUAGAGUGAACUGAAAUGACUUUAAGAUUUGAAGGAGUGUUUAUUCAAGGUCUUGGACUUUAUACUCUGGGGAGCUGAAAGUUUCUUCCAAAGGAAUCGUAGACACCCAUGGUCCAAAGCUGCACAAAAUACCUGAUUAAAAAAAAAAAAAGAGUGCUGAUAUCCCAGAGGAGCUCCCUGUGUCUCUGCUGGCACCAACAUGAAAUCCAAUAGCAAUCUAUUCCUCCGACGUAAGCAUCUAAACCUUCCUUUAAUUUGUCCUGUAAAAACUUUUUUUAUGAAUGAGUGAACCAAUCUAUCUAUCUCUCAGGGGAAAAAAAUCAUAUUGAGAAAUUCACUGAGAAUAAAACCCUGAGAGAUAUAGAAAUGAAAAACACAAGAGAGAAAACACAGAAGGGAAAACUACAUUGAAUGAUGCCAGAGUGUAAAGGCAUGACUACAGCUCCUAUCGGCUAUAACUAGUUCUCAGAAGGUGUCUCUAGCACCCAGACAUUCAUUUCAGUGUCCAGAGUCCUUGGGGUUUUUUGAUAAAACACAGAAGCCAUAUUGGGGUCCUUUGCAGAGUAUUGGGAGGUUUUGUAGUCCUUGUACCAUCUGCCAACACCAGAGGACUUGGCACUUCUCAAGCUUAGCCCAGAGGGAUGCAUUUGAGCCAAUGCUUAAAUAAAAUAAAAAGAUAAACCUGAUUCCUUUCACAGGCCCUCACAGUUUCAUCCCCCUUGUCCCUCAUGUAGCAGUGGAUGAUAGGAGGAGCCAGAGUCCCCCAAGGCAGAGGGAGAGGGCCUGCCAAUGCAGUUUGCAUCUACUUUGCUCACUUCUUAUGGCUAACAGCCCUCCCAUAAGACCCAAAGGGUUUCCAGGUGGAUCCUGGCUUUACCCAACCUCUUUGACCCAAGACUAUCAAAUGGAUCCUUCCUCGAGUGUCUCAGACAAAUAUGUACCAAAAUUUCCAAAUUGGUUUUACAAAAUAUAAAAAUUAAAUAAAUCCAUAUAUCUACUAGAAGAAUAGGGCAAAGCAUUUCAAAACAAGAGUGUAGUACUUUAUCAGUAGAUGCCCUUGUUUAGUAUUGGAUUAAACCAUAUUAAUUUGUUGGUGUUUGACUAUUUUUGACAUAAAAAUGAUAAUUUCGUGUGGUUCAAUCUAACAGGUGAGGAAUUACUGGGAUAGCAAAGGCUAAUGGUGCCUAAUCUGGGAAAACACUAACCAAGGCAGAUUCGUCUCCAGAUUCACACUGAUGUAGGAAGAAGGACUAGCUCCCCAGAUGCCAAAGACUCCUCAAUGUUUCCACUUAUAAUCUCAUAGCAGAAAUCCUUUCUCCUCAGAUGCUGUCAAAUGUCCCUUAUGAGCCCCUAAAAAUUACUAAAACUCAGGUAUUUCAACAGCCCACUCUAAGUUUAAGAGAAAUGAACUGUUUUGCAACUAGAAAAGAUUAUGUAAGCAGAGCAUACCACUGUGAAGAGCAAGGGACGGUAUGGGAACAAUUGGGGACCUACAUUAUUCUCCCUGACCCUUGACCUACACACUGUCCAGCUUUAGAAGACAGACACUUCACUCUCUUCCCUGAAACAGGGUUUUGAAUUGUCUAGAAACAAAUGAACUCCUCAGUUCUCAAUUAAUCAGUACAUCUCCAGAAAGAAAAAAG